UACGAAGGGGGCUAGCGUUGCUCGGAAUGACUGGGCGUAAAGGGCGCGUAGGCGGAUGGCACAGUCAGAUAUGAAAUUCCCGGGCUUAACCUGGGGGCUGCAUUUGAUACGUGUGAUCUAGAGUGAGGAAGAGGGUCGUGGAAUUCCCAGUGUAGAGGUGAAAUUCGUAGAUAUUGGGAGGAACACCGGUGGCGAAGGCGGGUCUCUGGGCCGUAACUGACGCUGAGGAGCGAAAGCGUGGGGAGCAAACAGG
rnacentral:rRNA from 1 species